UCCUCGGUAGCUUAGUGGUUAUAGCAUCAGGGUGUAAACCUGAAAGACCUGGGUUCGUAUCCUAGUCGAGGUCAA